UACGAAGGGGGCUAGCGUUGUUCGGAGUUACUGGGCGUAAAGCGCACGUAGGCGGAUAUUUAAGUCAGGGGUGAAAUCCCAGAGCUCAACUCUGGAACUGCCUUUGAUACUGGGUAUCUUGAGUAUGGAAGAGGUAAGUGGAAUUGCGAGUGUAGAGGUGAAAUUCGUAGAUAUUCGCAGGAACACCAGUGGCGAAGGCGGCUUACUGGUCCGGUACUGACGCUGAGGUGCGAAAGCG
rnacentral:rRNA from 1 species